rnacentral:rRNA from 1 species
GACGAACGCUGGCGGCGUGCUUAACACAUGCAAGUCGAGCGGUAAGGCCCUUCGGGUACACGAGCGGCGAACGGGUGAGUAACACGUGGGUGACCUGCCUCUAGCUCUGGGAUAAGCCUGGGAAACUGGGUCUAAUACCGGAUAUGACUCCACGGCGCAUGUUGUGGGGUGGAAAGCCUUGUGUGGCUAGAGAUGGGCCCGCGGCCUAUCAGCUUGUUGGUGGGGUGAGGCCUACCAAGGCGACGACGGGUAGCCGGCCUGAGAGGGCGACCGGCCACACUGGGACUGAGACACGGCCCAGACUCCUACGGGAGGCAGCAGUGGGGAAUCUUGCGCAAUGGGCGAAAGCCUGACGCAGCGACGCCGCGUGAGGGAUGACGGCC